rnacentral:tRNA from 1 species
UAAAAUAUAAUUUAAAAGUAUCUAUUUAAUAUUUUUUUCAAACGUUUAAAUAUUAAGUAUAUUCAAAAAAUAGUGAAAAUUUAAAAGAAAAAUAAAUAAAAAUGAAUUUAAUAAAAUUAUUGUCUUUUUUUUUUAAAAAAAACUUUAAAAAUUCAAAAUUUCAUUAUUUUUGUAAAACAAAUAAUCAAUUUUAUAAAAAAGUAAAAAUUCAUUUAUAAUUAAAAUAUAUAUAAUUUAA